AAAGCAUGGGUCUCAAUCUGGGAGAGAGAGAGAGAAAGAGGCCCUGAACCGAUAAGGAACUUUUCAGCGGGUCGGAACAAGCUGUCCCAACUCUCCCUCCUUUUUCUCUGUGCUGUUGACGUCUAAGAGGAAGAUAGCAGAUUAUUAUGUAGCCAGUCCAACCUGGGUUACAACGGCCAACGAACUGCAGCCAAUCAACCUCAGAUGAGGCACACCGGGUCUGUCGCACUUGUUGCUGGCAACUUUAACGUGGGUGUUUUUAGGGGGCAGCUCCGCAGGUGCAAAAUCAAGGAGGGGGCAUAAGUGCUGACGGAGCUCAGGAAACUGCUACUGUGUCUUUCUCAAACAUCUUCAAGGUCACUGGGGAGUGAUAAAUGCCCCAUGAGAAGGUGUUUGCUUUGGGGAGAAGGCUCAGCAGCUACACAGGGUCCUCACAUCAGCUGGUCGGAGAGGGGUAUCUUCACUCGCUGUUCCUUUUUCCUAUGCAUAUACCUCUUUGAGAUCUAGCUUUAAAGAGGCAUAGGGCAUGGGAAAAUGGGGCUGCAGAGGUAUUUCACUGACUAUCCCUGGUCAACCACCUCAGCCCAAAGUAAUCCCAGCUCCCCCCAUCUUUAACCUGGAGGACUCCCGAAAACCAGAUCACACCACUAGGAAUUCAGUGGAGCCUCCAUGUCAUAAUGACCUAAGAAAAAUCGAUUUUGCAGUGCCCUGAAACAAUCGGUAAUCAUCGUCUGAUAGUUUCUAUAGUUUGUGCUUUGACUAUGGUGUAGUUCAUUUUGUCCAAUAACUUUUGUGUUGUCGACUUCCAAUUGCUUAAUAAAUAAAAAUCUGUUUUUUUUGUC